rnacentral:misc_RNA from 1 species
CGCGUCAAUAGUCUUUUUACAUUGUUACGAUUAUCGUAAAAAUAGGUAACAAAAGAGAUAAUUUACUUUUCAAAUCAAUGGCUGAUUUAUUAUCUUUAUAAAAUACAAAAAAAAAAAAGAACAAGAAAAAGAAAACAACAAAAGAAGCGACUCAAUCAGAGGAACGAUAAAGUCGAUAUGUAAAUGAUAAAUCCGUAAAGUCUUACACCGUGAAUUGAAUUUUACUGCGAUUAUGCAUAUUAAACUAUGAUAAAUUAUGAGAUCAAAGGCGGAAGUUAAUGAUUUUACAAAUUCAGAACAGAGUCUUAAAGAUAUUAUUUUCUGCGUAAUUCAUACUGAUAAUAUAUUAGAAAUAUCGUCAUUAUCUCUGAGUCUAAAAUUGCAAGUAUGCAAUCUCAUUUCUUGAAAAUUAUCGGUAACAAGUCGUACAAUCUUAAAUUCAUCGAUAUAUUGGACUGAAAAGAACAAUUAGUUCUAUUAGCCGCAUUUGUAACUAAAAUAUUCGUUUGUUACAAAACGUCUUUUAUCAAAAAAGAAGAUCUAUUAAAAGGAGGCAAAAAAUAUGGCGCGCUAAAGAUAGAAAGACAUUAAACCUCCAGCCACAAGCGAUUUCUUCUACUAAAUUCGAUCUAUUCGUUCGUAUAACUGUCUUCGGCCAUAUAGGAAACAUUAUAUCCAAUAAAUAGCAGUCGUCACAGAAAGUAUCAAUCAAUUUCAGAUAAUUGGUAUUUUAUCGGAUCUUCGUUUGUUAUCUCGAAUCAUUUUUAAACGCACUUAUUUACCUGCUAUAAUUCCGUCAAUUCUAUUUAAUAUCGUUACAAAACUGAUCACGUAUCUAAAUUGCUUCCUCUUCUAGCACAUUUUAAACGAUCCAUACAGAUAAUCAAGAAGAAAGAAAUUUUCGAAUCGGAAGAAAUCACAAACGAACAGCACCACGAAGAAGAUAUCUAAAGGUUUGAUUUUAUAUAAAAUCGCGUGGAAAUUUUCCUACAAGUAUAUUUAGUUGCCACCAUAAAACCAGUAACCUAGAUGAUGUAAGACUUUUACGCAAUAUUGCAUAUAGCCUAGUUAGAACACUUGAUAACAUAUUUAUGUACACAACAAAAUAGGCUAAAACGACGUGUUCCGAUGUCUUAAUGAUUAAUCAGUGAAAGGCACUCGUUUCGAUGGGAAACGUUGGUUCCCAAUGCUCGAAUAACGUAAUAAGAAGGCAGCUGCACUUUUCAGUAACCUGAUUAAACCAACAA